rnacentral:tRNA from 1 species
GGUGGCUCAGUGGUAGAGUGCUUGCCUAGCAUGCAGGAAGCCCUGGGUUCGAUUCCUCAGCACCA